rnacentral:rRNA from 1 species
CCCUUAGAUGUUCUGGGCCGCACACGCGCUACACUGAAGGAGGCAGCGUGUACUUCUGGAUCGAAAGAUUUGGGUAGCCCGCGAAUCUCCUUCGUGCUAGGGAUUGAGGUUUGCAAUUAUCCUUCAUGAACGAGGAAUUCCCAGUAAGUGCAAGUCAUAAGCUUGCGCUGACUACGUCCCUGCCCUUUGUACACACCGCCCGUCGCUACUACCGAUUGAAUGAUUUAGUGAGGACUUCGGACUGGGACCGAUGCGGCUUUCGGGCUGCGUCGGUAUUCUGGAAAGAUGUCCAAACUGUAUCAUUUAGAGGAAGUAAAAGUCGUAACA